AGAAAUGCCUCCAUGAGACCCAGCUGUAAGGCAUUUUCUCAAUUAGUGAUUGAUGGGGAAGUGCCCAGGCCAUGGUGGGUGGUGCCAUCCCUGGGCUGCUGGUCCUG
rnacentral:miRNA from 1 species